GUUCUUAUGGUCUAGUGGUAAAGACAUUACUUUUUCAUAGUAAAAACACGGAUUCAAAUUCCGUUAAGAAUA
rnacentral:tRNA from 1 species